rnacentral:rRNA from 1 species
UACGAAGGGGGCUAGCGUUGUUCGGAAUUACUGGGCGUAAAGCGCACGUAGGCGGAUCGAUCAGUCAGGGGUGAAAUCCCAGAGCUCAACUCUGGAACUGCCUUUGAUACUGUCGAUCUAGAGUAUGGAAGAGGUGAGUGGAAUUCCGAGUGUAGAGGUGAAAUUCGUAGAUAUUGGGAAGAACACCGGUGGCGAAGGCGGCUCUCUGGACCGAUACUGACGCUGAGGCGCGAAAGCGUGGGGAGCAAACAGG